rnacentral:pre_miRNA from 1 species
UGGGAGAGGAGUUAUAAGAGGAAGAGUAUGAUAUAAGCAAGUAUCAUAUCGUAGAGCACCUAGCACCAGCGAGGCAGAGCAAGAGCUUGACAGAAGCUCACAUGAAGAUUGGCAUGCUUCAGAGUCGGAGCAAGAAACAAGACAAGCUUCUCUCCAAGUGUUGGAAGACCAUCAAGACUUUAAAGUCAAUCAUAAGGUAUUCAUCUUCCAACACCGAUGGGCCA